rnacentral:rRNA from 1 species
GACGAACGCUGGCGGCGUGCUUAACACAUGCAAGUCGAACGGAAAGGCCCUGCUUUUGUGGGUUACUCGAGUGGCGAACGGGUGAGUAACACGUGAGUAACCUGCCCUUGACUUUGGGAUAACUUCAGGAAACUGGGGCUAAUACCGGAUAUGAGCUCCUGCUGCAUGGUGUGGUUUGGAAAGUUUCGGCGGUUGGGGAUGGACUCGCGGCUUAUCAGCUUGUUGGUGGGGUAGUGGCUUACCAAGGCUUUGACGGGUAGCCGGCCUGAGAGGGUGACCGGCCACAUUGGGACUGAGAUACGGCCCAGACUCCUACGGGAGGCAGCAGUGGGGAAUAUUGCACAAUGGGCGGAAGCCUGAUGCAGCAACGCCGCGUGCGGGAUGACGGCCUUCGGGUUGUAAACCGCUUUCGCCUGUGACGAAGCGUGAGUGACGGUAAUGGGUAAAGAAGCACCGGCUAACUACGUG